rfam:Pteropus alecto contig86722, whole genome shotgun sequence.
GGUUCCAUAGUGUAGCAGUUAGUACGUCUGCUUUACAUGCAGAAAUUCCUGGGUUCACGCCCCAGUAGAGCCA